rnacentral:misc_RNA from 1 species
AACGCACAUUGCGCCCGCGAGUAUUCUCGCGGGCAUGCCUGUCCGAGCGUCAUUUCAACCCUCAGGGCCCGCCUGCUUGCAGGCGCGGCGCUGGUGUUGGGGAUCGGCCCUUACCGGCCGUCCCCCAAAUACAGUGGCGGUCUCGCUGCAGCCUCCCCUGCGUAGUAGCAACACUCGCAUGCGGAGCGCGGCGCGGCCACGCCGUAAAACCCCCGACUUUCUGAACGUUGACCUCGGAUCAGGUAGGAAUACCCGCUGAACUUAA